GCUGGGUGCGGUGGCCCAUGCCUAUAAUCCCAGCAGCUUGGGAGGCUGAGGCAGGAGGAUCAAAGUUCAAAGCCAGCCUCAGCAAAAGCAGGUGCUCAGCCACUCAGUGAGACCCUGUCUCUA
rnacentral:sRNA from 1 species